UACAGAGGUCCCCAAGCGUUGUUCGGAUUUACUGGGCGUAAAGGGUGCGUAGGUGGUUGGUCAAGUCCUAGGUGAAAUCCCGGGGCUCAACUCCGGAACGGCCUCGGAUACUGAGCAGCUAGAGGAAUGGAUGCGAAACUGGAAUUCUCGGUGUAGCAGUGAAAUGCGUAGAUAUCGAGAGGAACACCAUUAGCGAAGGCAAGUUUCUGGACAUUCCCUGACACUGAUGCACUAAAGCCAGGGGAGCAAACGGGAUUAG
rnacentral:rRNA from 1 species